GGGGUUGUGGCUCAGUGGCAAAGCGCUCGCCUAGCAUGUGUGAGGCACUGGGUUCAAUUCUCAGCACCA
rfam:Ictidomys tridecemlineatus contig083904, whole genome shotgun sequence.